CCUACGGGUGGCAGCAGUGGGGAAUAUUGGGCAAUGGGCGCAAGCCUGACCCAGCAACGCCGCGUGAAGGAAGAAGGCUUUCGGGUUGUAAACUUCUUUUCUCAGGGACGAAGCAAGUGACGGUACCUGAGGACUAAGCCACGGCUAACUACGUGCCAGCAGCCGCGGUAAUACGUAGGUGGCAAGCGUUAUCCGGAUUUACUGGGUGUAAAGGGCGUGUAGGCGGGAAAGCAAGUCAGAUGUGAAAACCACGGGCUCAACCUGUGGCCUGCAUUUGAAACUGUAGUUCUUGAGUACUGGAGAGGCAGACGGAAUUCCUAGUGUAGCGGUGAAAUGCGUAGAUAGUAGGAGGAACACCAGUGGCGAAGGCGGAUUGCUGGACAGUAACUGACGCUGAGGCGCGAAAGCGUGGGGAGCAAACAGGAUUAGAUACCCUAGUAGUC
rnacentral:rRNA from 1 species